rnacentral:lncRNA from 1 species
AGCGCACAAUUGGCUCGGGUUUGGCCGGGAUAGGCCGUCCUUGUAAAUAUAUUGUGUUCUUACUGACUUGCCUAGUUAAUACAUCACAACACAACAAAACUUUUUUUCCUUUCCACACCACACACCACACAAACACACACACACACACACACACACACACAACACUCACACACACACACACACACCACACACACACACACAUUUCCACGCCCAUGAGGGUCCUAUCUGCACACACACACACACACACACACACACACACCACACACACCCACACACACACAUUUCCACGCCCAUGAGGGUCCAUCUCACACACACACACCACACACCCACACACACAAACACACACACACACACCACACAUUUCCACGCCCAUGAGGGUCCUAUCUCACACACACACACACACACAAAACACACACACAUCACACACACACACACACACACUUCCACGCCCAUGAGGUCCCUAUCUCACACACACACAACACAUUUCCACGCCAUGAGGGUCCUAUCUCACACCACACACAUUUCCACGCCCAUGAGGGUCCUAUCACACACACACACACACACACACACACACACACACUUCCACGCCCAUGAGGGUCCUAUCUCACACACACACACAUUUCCCCGCCCAGAGGGUCCUAUCUCACCACACACACACACAACACCCACCAUGAGCGUUCUACACAACACACACAACCCCA